AAAACGACUCUCGGCAACGGAUAUCUCGGCUCUCGCAUCGAUGAAGAACGUAGCGAAAUGCGAUACUUGGUGUGAAUUGCAGAAUCCCGUGAACCAUCGAGUCUUUGAACGCAAGUUGCGCCCGAAGCCACUAGGCCGAGGGCACGCCUGCCUGGGCGUCACAC
rnacentral:rRNA from 14 species